GGGGAUGUAGCUCAGUGGUAGAGUGCUUGUCUAGCAUGCACAGAGCCCUGGGUUUUAUCCCCAGCACCCCUU
rnacentral:tRNA from 1 species